UUAUAAUGUAUAAGUAUAAUAUUUUAGGAUAAGCGAGGCACUGUUAUUUAUUUUAAUUGAAUAUUUGAAUAAUUACUACUAAUGAAUAACAAUUUGGUUUAUAAUGUAUGAGUAUAUUAUUUUGGGGUAAGAAAGGCACUGUCGUUUAUUUUGCGCCUAAUCGUUUCUUUUUUAAUGUUCCUGAUUUUAAACUAAUUAAAGUGAACAAUUAAAGUUCUAUUUUAAUUGAACAUUUGAAUAAAUGAUUACCAAUAGAUAACACGUUUGUUUAUUAUGUACACCUAUAAUAUAUUGGGUUAAGAAAGACAUUGAUAUUUAUUUUGCGCCUAUCAUUUCUUUUUUAAUGUUUAGGCACUGUUGUUUAUUUUGCGCCUUUUUUUUUAAUGUUCUUGACUUUAAACUAAUUAAAGUGAACAAUUAAAGUUUUAUUUUAAUUGAAUAUUUGAAUAAAUGAUUACUAAUGAAUAACAAUUUUGUUUACAAUGUAUGAGUAUAAUAUUUUAGGGUAAGAAAGGCACUAUCGUUUAUUUUGCGGCCAAUCGUUUCUUUUUCAAAGUUCUUAACAUUAAACUAAUUAAACAAGUUUUAUUUUAAUUAAAUAUUUGAAUAAAUAAUUACAAAUAAUUAUUAUAUUUUUUUUAUAAUGUAUGGUAUAA
rnacentral:lncRNA from 1 species